UACGGAGGGGACUAGCGUUGUUCGGAAUUACUGGGCGUAAAGGGCGCGUAGGCGGCUUACCAAGUCAGGCGUGAAAUUCCCGGGCUCAACCUGGGGGCUGCGCUUGAUACUGGUGAGCUUGAAUGCGGGAGAGGAUAGUGGAAUUCCCAGUGUAGAGGUGAAAUUCGUAGAUAUUGGGAAGAACACCAGUGGCGAAGGCGGCUCACUGGCUCGUAACUGACGCUCAGGCGCGACAGCGUGGGGAUCAAACAGG
rnacentral:rRNA from 1 species